UAAGGUGGAACGCAAUAUUUAUCAAAACGCUGGGAAUACGGUUGAAGGUACAAAAAAGUGUGGGGAACACAGUUGUAGAGAAUAAAAUUUUCGAUCAAAAAGUUUGGCGCAUUGGCAGGACUUUACGUCACUGUCCACAUAUUUCAAAAAUGAAGCUAAACGUCGUCACUCUAUUUCUUGCUGUACACUUUAAUUGUGGAAACAGUUUAAAGUGCUUCAGCUGCUCUGACAAGAGUUGUAAUCCUCGAGAAAUAAAAACAAUUGCCUGUUCCGAAUCCACUACUAGCAAAUGUUAUUUAGUGUCCUGGAAGCUCAAAGGUAAAACAAGGGAGAUGAGAGGUUGUAUUGGCGAUAUGAUCGCCAAAUUGUUGGGACCAAAGUUGAAAGAAUGCGGCUUGAAUGAUACUAACACUAAUGCUGGCGGCUUAAGUGAUGUUAACAUUGAUCUUAUCAAUAAGAUAACCACUGGCACUACUUGCAUACUUUGUGCGACAGAUGAGUGUAAUCAAGCCGAGAAAAAAAGUAAGGACAGUAAAGAAAAAUCCGGAGCUGGGUCUAGUGCUUACACACUUUAUUAUCUAACAAGUUUCCUUGUUCUAUUUGUGACAUUGUAAUUUUGAACGAAAUACACAAAUUAAUUGAGUUUGAAGCUAACUCCCGGGAGUCCUUUGGCUCCAGUCCCCGUGACUCUAUAAGUAGCACCAUUGACAGGCGCUGGCAAUUUUUUUUCAUCGGUUUCAAAGCGUCCUGUUGUCACAAACAGUUCGUCCAAAUUGCGACCCCCGAAAGCAACCGAAGUGACCUAAAACCAUCAAAUCAUCUCCCUCAACUCACAGAACGAAAUUACUUGUUCCGCUGGCAUGUUUAUGGUGUCCAGAAGUGUUUCACUUUUGUUACCAUCAAUCUUCAGCACUCUGUUGCCCCCAAAAACGGCCACCCAUAGAUUACCAUCGGUGUCUAUGGUCAUACCAUCGGCAAUUCCCGUCACGUUGUGCUUUUUCAACGUGAACAGGACUUGUCUGUUGGCUACAAAAAAUCAUUUUUUCGAAUGUUUGAACACAAUUUAUUGUUGUUACAAAUCGUGCCGCUGUUUACGUCAAAAUCAAACCAAUCGACUGUCCCUGCCAAAGAGUCGAUGUAAUACAUUUUCUUCACCUUGUCGUUGAAAGCCAAUCCGUUUGCAACCCGGAUUUUGUCCAAACAUUUCUUUAGCUGUUUGUUCGAAUCGAGGGAGAAUAAGUGGCCCAGAGGCCCACUGUUCAUGAAGUCACUCUCGUUCAAAGUGUGUCCCCCGGCCCACAAACGGCCCGUGGAGUCACACUUCGCAUCGUUGAAUUUAUUAUCAACUGACGCCAACUUCUCCACGAUUUUUGCACUAUCACUCUCGCCGUCCCACAAAAUAAUGACUAAUUCGUUGUUUAGUGAAAUCACAAAUUGGUCUUUUGCGCCCUCGACUGGGAUUAUAAACGAUGCGGUUUUUGGUGCUGGUAACAGUUUUUAGUUUGCGAAUGAUUGACUAAAACUUACCAACUGAUGCUUUAGUUACUUUCUUGGUGGUUGGUGCAUAUUUUACGAUACUUUGGCCAAAAACGUCGACAAAAUAAAGGCUCUGGGUCGAGGCGUCCCAAUGGGGGCCUUCGCCCAGGCUAAAACCUUCUGUAACUCGCUCGAUUGUGUGCAUUUUAAUGGCACUCUGUUAGUGAUAUUAACAAGGUCAUAAAAAUUAACAGAUUGAAGCGCAUCGUAUUGAUAAGUAUGGGAGCUAUGUGGAACAGAGAGGUUGUGUUGGAGAGAAUUUCAAGGAGAUGCUAAGGAAUUGUAAUUUUGGAAAGAACGUGGACUACAACCAAAAAUUUCUUGCUACGGCUAAGGAUGGUAACGGCACACAGUGUGUCCUUUGCACGACACAUCUUUGUAAUCAUAAGCCAGACGAAGAAAGGAAAAGCUCCGCAGUUGUGACGAAUGUUGAUAUAUUUUUUUAUUUCACUCUAAUUUUUGUGUUGCAUGCGUUAGGGAUUAUCUAGUUUUAAAUAAAAUAAAACACAAUUUGA